CAGAUUCGACCAUAAUGUUUAGGUCGGGUUUGGGGUGUUACAGAGGAGUUAUAAGGUUCAGCUAAAAAGAGGGCAGAAAAGAGUAAUAGAAAGAAAAUUAAAUAAAAAAAAGAAGAGGAGGAGGACUUGCAGGGGCGCACGAUGGCGACCACGGCGGCGCUCACAUCGGUGAGGAGAGGAGUGAGAUGAAAAUAGUAGAGGAGCGACAGCCAUGAGAGGUGGUGAUUAGUGGAAAGAAGUUUGGGUUAUGGUGGAGGAAGAAAAAGAUUAGGAGGAUGGUGGUGGUUGUUUCGGAAAAUGAGAGAAAAUAUUGAGAAAAGAAAAUAAAAAAAAUGAAAGAAAGUGAAAGGGAGAGGGAGGGGAGUAUGGACAACAAUGCAAGGGAAGAAGGCUUGGUCAACCAUAGCCAAGUUCAAUGUGUCAUGCAACAAGGUAAGAGGCGAGGUUAUUGCUAGGACCAUAAAAGUCCCAAAUUAUCUUUAAAAUCCA
rnacentral:lncRNA from 1 species